AGUGAACGCUGGCGGUAGGCCUAACACAUGCAAGUCGAACGGCAGCACAGUAAGAGCUUGCUCUUACGGUUGGCGAGUGGCGGACGGGUGAGGAAUACAUCGGAAUCUACUUUUUCGUGGGUGAUAACGUAGGGAAACUUACGCUAAUACCGCAUACGACCUACGGGUGAAAGCAGGGGAUCUUCGGACCUUGCGCGAUUGAAUGAGCCGAUGUCGGAUUAGCUAGUUGGCGGGUUAAAGGCCCACCAAGGCGACGAUCCGUAGCUGGUCUGAGAGGAUGAUCAGACACACGGGAACUGAGACACGGUCAAGACUCCUACGGGAGGAAGCAGUGGGGAAUAUUGGACAAUGGGCGCAAGCAUGAUCCAGCAAUACCGCGUGGGUGAAGAAGGCCUUCGGGUUGUAAAGACCUUUUGUUGGGAAAGAAAAGCAGCAGGUUAAUACCCCGCUGUUCUGACGGUACCAAAAGAAUAAGCACCGGCUAACUUCGUG
rnacentral:rRNA from 1 species